rnacentral:tRNA from 1 species
GAUUGGGUGGCACCCAAUGGUAGGGUGCCAGCCUCAUAUGCUGGAGGUGGCGGGUUCAAACCCAGCCCCGGCCA